rnacentral:rRNA from 1 species
UACGAACUGUGCGAACGUUAUUCGGAAUCACUGGGAUUACAGGGUGCGUAGGCGGCUAUUCAGGUCAGGUGUGAAAGCCCCCGGCUCAACCGGGGAACUGCGCUUGAAACCGAGUGGCUCGAGUCAGCUAGAGGUACACGGAACUUCCAGUGGAGCGGUGAAAUGUGUUGAUAUUGGAAGGAACACCGGAGGCGAAAGCGGUGUACUGGGGCUGGUCUGACGCUGAGGCACGAAAGCCAGGGGAGCGAACAGG